rnacentral:rRNA from 1 species
GACGAACGCUGGCGGCGUGCUUAACACAUGCAAGUCGAACGGAAAGGCCCUGCUUUUGUGGGGUGCUCGAGUGGCGAACGGGUGAGUAACACGUGAGUAACCUGCCCUUGACUUUGGGAUAUCUUCAGGAAACUGGGGCUAAUACCGGAUAGGAGCUCCUGCUGCAUGGUGGGGGUUGGAAAGUUUCGGCGGUUGGGGAUGGACUCGCGGCCUAUCAGCUUGUUGGUGGGGUAGUGGCUUACCAAGGCUUUGACGGGUAGCCGGCCUGAGAGGGUGACCGGCCACAUUGGGACUGAGAUACGGCCCAGACUCCUACGGGAGGCAGCAGUGGGGAAUAUUGCACAAUGGGCGGAAGCCUGAUGCAGCAACGCCGCGUGCGGGAUGACGGCCUUCGGGUUGUAAACCGCUUUCGCCUGUGACGAAGCGUGAGUGACGGUAAUGGGUAAAGAAGCACCGGCUAACUACGUG